GCGGCUCCGGAGCCGCAGGUUGCCGACCCCUGGGCUACAUUCAUUUAACUUCUUUCGUAUGGCUGACGUAGAUGCAGAGCAACAACUACAAUUUAAAAUUCAGAUGGUCAAGCCAGACAAACCGCGUCAGGAGUAGUGGAGUGUUAAUCGCUGUGAUAUCUCCUUCGUAUUUGUGGAUCGGGCAUUGCAUCGUUAUAUGUUGUCCGGUCUGUUCUGGAUGACCGCAGUCGCACCCUGGAGAGUUUUACGCAUCUGCCAUGGUUUGUGCAGUGGAUUCGAUUUAGCGUGGACCAUAAGCUUUGUGGAAGAUAAAAUACAGGGAUCUUCUGCAUUGGGUAUUUCACAAGGUGUGUGCUUAUGAGUUAUUUUGAACUCCAGCUCUCCAAGCUUGUGGCUUAAGAUCAGUGAUGAGGGCAAUUUAUCUGGAGCACGGCUGGAGUGACGACUGGGGGUGCUACUGGGAUUGCUUGUUGCAUCAGAGGCUGGUGCAGCCACCUCCAAGCCAGCGAGGGAGGUGGUGAAAAUACGAUGGUGACCAGCAGUGGUCGCCUGGAAACGCUGUGGGCACAGCGGAAGGGGUCAGAGGAACACCACCUGGGCGUACGAGACCAGCCGAAGGGGGGUUUUCCCUCGCCCGAGGGACGGCCCGAUCAUGUGUUUCAAAUGCAGGCUGCCAGGACAUGUGUCCAUUGGGUGCUGCGCUCGACGGGGAGGACCCCCAAUGCCGACGUCGUCUUUCGGAUCGUCACCCCUUCUCUCAACUAAGUCCUCAGGGCCCCAGUGCCUAGGGUCGGCGGAGCAGCCAGCUAUGCCGCCGGGUUCGGCUCAAAUGGGGGAAGUGCAUCCGUCGCCCACUCCGUCUUCUCAGGGCAGACAGCCUCCUCCUUCUCCACCUCGGGAAGGGCCGCGGCCGGUGGGUUACUGUCAACCCGGCGCGGGAUCCGAGGAGGAGGCCUGCCCCACCCUGUCCGGGGGCCCAGCGACGAGGACCUGCUCAAGAACUGUGCGGCUCAAGUGACUCGUUUCAGCACGGGCUACUAUCCCAUUCCGCCUACCUGGUUGCGGGGUUUGCGUGGGUGCGUUCGGUGCCCCAUGCGUGGUGACUGGUUCCCCCCCCCCCCCGUGUAUUUGCUACUGUAUUGUUCUUUGUUGCCGUUGAUAUCGCUGUUGGUUGUUACUUGCGGGGAGGGGUUCGCAGUCUACCACCACCGGGUGGGCACGUUCGACGUGCCAACGGGUAAUUUGUUGUUUUUUCUUCUUCGAGUUUUUUUUAGUUGGUGCUCUCGUCGCGCCUUAUGUUUAUUGGUGCGCUCGCAGUGCCUGGUUAUCGCCCCCUUCUACGUUUUGGUGGGCGACGCCACAAUAGGCAUUUGGCGCUCUUAGAGUGCCGGGCUUUACAGUCCCCACCACCCCCCUUUCACAGCCUGGGCUGGCUGUCCACAAAAUAGAGUUUUUUUCUUAACAAUUCUUUCUCCUCUGCCCUAACUUAUGGAGUUUUUUUGGUGAAUUUUUCUCCUCUAGUUCGGAAGUUUUUUUUCUCCUCUCCCCCUCGAAUUUCCGGAUUUUUAUAAAGGGUGGGGGGGGGGGGUAGUGUAGUGAUGUACACUGUCACUAGAUUGUAGCACCGGGUACUGGAGGGACACGUGACCGGGGGACGAGAAACCUGCCCUCAUGCGAUUGAAACGUCGUAGUUUUUGGUUUUUCUUUCAGCCUAUCAACGUGACUUUACUGAAAGACCCAAAGAAUAUGCAUUCCUGCAGUCACGAAAGCUUUAAGUCAUGAUUAUAUAGGGACUUCACAAAUGGGAACUCAGAGAGAAAGAUUGAACUUUAACAUAUUACAGAAAAUAUUAAAAUUAGUAGCAGAGUUGUAUGCAGAUCGCCUAUAGCAAGAAAAUAAUAUCCAAAUAAUUAAAUAGUUUUUUUUUAGGUGAAGAGUAGGAGUUCACACUUGAAGAAGUAAACUCUGCCAGGAUGCAAUAUAUAAUCAACGAUGUGAGUGAUGAUGGUAAUUAUCAUGAUGAUUAGGAUUACUGUGAGCGCAAGAAUGAUGAUGCUAAUUGGAGGAAUUUUAUGUAGAUCUGUCAUCAUCAUUCAAGGUAUAUCCCCUGCUAGACAAAGGCCUCCCAAAGUCACUGCCGCCUCUCAUGAUCCUGCCAUGUAAGAAUACACCUAGCAACUGCACACAAACUGAUGUCAUCGCUCUAUCUGAACAGUAUACGUUCUCUUGGACACGUUCCAUUCCUUGGCUGCUACUCCAUUAUGAGUCUUGACCAUCAGCCAUCAUCCCUUCGAGUGACGUAUCCGGCCUGAGCCCGCUUGCAUUUAUAAAUACUGCUGCGUGAAUGCCACCAUUGCUCGUUUGAGUAGUGAGGCAUACAGAAGGAAUGUGUUUGUGAAGAAGUUGAACAAAUGACUCAUAUAAUCAUGAAUUAAACAAUUAGGAUGACGAUGUAGAUCACGUUCGUAAUAUAAAGUACUAGAUAUUACCGGGUAGGAACAUAAAAACAAAGAGGUGUUCAGAGCAAAUUGGAAUGAACAAAAUAUAACCAUUAAACCAGGGCGUUGGGAGGAGUGGGGCUCUACGUGGAUAAGACGAAUUUCUCUGUGCUGAUACCCAGUCGGGAAACUGCUCUCGGCUUGCCUGGGGAAAAUAUUUUUACUUUAAAUGUUAAAGUACUUGUCUGUUUCUCAGAUAUUUCAACAAAAUGUAAUUGAUGCAGAGCAAUGCAUGUGUAAAUAACUUCUGUAUUAUAAAUGUAUGUUUCCAUUAUCAUAAUUACUGUUGAUGGCUUAAACAAAACAAAAAAAAUCAAGGAGUCCAUCACUAACCAAAUUAAUUUACACACCCUCUUCAAAUCAAUUCCGAUGAUAGUGUAAUACUGAAGCUUACAAACAAAACUUUUAAGUCUUAUAAUCUAUUUUCACAAAAAGGGAUGUUUUGGAUUUGAAUUACAAGUUUACUUUGCCUUGUUCAUCAUAGCUGGGGUCAUGGCCAUUUGUUUAAAUGAGGAAACAUUCCAUAAGAGAAUGGGUCAGUGGGUAGCAUCAUGUCAUAUCAUGUGAACAUUCCCAUGAUGAAGGCGUCACCAGUGUUACUGAUACGACCACACCGAGCACUCCUCUUCCUUCCUUCUGCUAGAUCUGGAAAAUGUUGCAGUCAGAACCCCACCUCAAAAAUCUGCUCUUACAGUAUCCCACAAUUUGGCUUCGAGUAUAGCCUCUUGCCAGAUUUGAGUAAGACAACAUUCUGAAACGUCGAAUAGUAUUUGUCCCACGAGGUGGGGUGUAUUUUACAAAAAUAAAUAUUUGCAUUUAUCAGUGAA